GACAAUUGUUGAUCUUGGGCCU
rnacentral:miRNA from 1 species